rnacentral:RNase_P_RNA from 1 species
GUGGGCGGAAGCUCAUUGUAGAGGUCACAUGCAGAGUGCUCGUCACUCGACCAAUCACCUCGGGGAAGGUCUGAGACAAGAGCCAAUCGCUGCCCUCGCAGGGCAUCAUCCGACGUGGAUGAGCGAGCGAACAGAAAUCACGGGCCCGUGAGCGGCUGCGCAGGAGAAGUCACGUGACCUGAUACCGUCACCGGCGGAUGCGACGCUCACCGGCUUGGAAUCACUCGCGGCUGGCGAAUGAGUGCGAUGGAUGAGGUGGAGCACGGCUCCAGAACCCAAUUCAGACUACUCUCCACCCAC